rnacentral:tRNA from 1 species
GGGGAUUUAGCUCAGCGGUAGAGCACUUGCCUAGCAAGCGCAAGGCCCUGGGUUCUAUCCCCAGCUCCG